GUCCGUUCUCUAAUUCAUCUUAUCCAAACUCCUCCUUUUCCAGCGACGGCGGAGCAUGGGCAGGUGACGGGCAGCGCCCUUGUCGUCGGACGGCUACAACCGCGGUGGAGGAGAAGGCGGAUGCCGUGGGUGCGUGCUUGGGUAAGGGAGUCCACCCUUGCGUGCUUGUGGGCGUUCAUGGAGGAUGGAAGGGGGGUCAACUUCCUGUGGGUGCGCCAGCUGUGCUCGUGGGCGUUCAUGGAGGAUGGAAGGUGGGACAGCAUCCUGUGGGAAAUUGGAAACCGGCCCUGUCCUUCUCCAACACAAAUUGAUGGAGCGCCCGACCCGGAUUUGAUUGGCUGCUAUUAGUAAGGGUCCUCGGCCGGAAUCUCCAUUAGGUCGUGCCUCGGGACCAUAAUCUCCAUCAUCCCGUCGAAAUUACAAUUUUUGACCAAACGUCCAAUGUCACCGCCGAGUUCGCCGGAGGAAAAAGUGCCGAGUUCGCCGGAGGAACAAGAACAUCCGUCGAGCCGUGCAAUGUCUCCUGUGGCGGCUACACGAGAGUUAACAAGUAGCUCUUCAGAAUAGAUAUGCUAGCUGCACCUAGCAAACCAGGAUUAGGAGGUGUAUUCAAGUGCAACAUAUGCAUUGAUCAACAAAGAAACAUGUGUGUUUCUUAGCGUGUACUAAAUAACUUUUCUCUCUGUAGUUUCUGGGGUUGUCCAACAUGUGUUUCUCAGAUUAAUGCCUUCAACACCCCUCUUUCCA